rnacentral:rRNA from 1 species
UACGUAGGGGGCAAGCGUUGUCCGGAAUCAUUGGGCGUAAAGCGCGUGUAGGCGGCCAGAAAAGUCCGCUGUGAAAACUCGAGGCUCAACUUCGAGCUGUCGGUGGAAACUUUCUGGCUAGAGUCCGGAAGAGGAGAAUGGAAUUCCUGGUGUAGCGGUGAAAUGCGCAGAUAUCAGGAAGAACACCCGUGGCGAAGGCGGUUCUCUGGGACGGUACUGACGCUCAGGCGCGAAAGCUAGGGGAGCAAACAGG